rnacentral:lncRNA from 1 species
GCUAGGUUCUUUGUUCUAACCGAUAUUCUAUACUGGUGAAGAGAAUUCAGUCCAUCAAACAACUAUUACAGCUUGUUAAUUUGCCAGGUGCAUGCCAAUAUGAUUGUGUACAUAUAAUUGAUGACCUAAUAGCUCAACAUACAAUGCACUUGAUUGAUGGUUAAUUAAUGGGCCAUUUGCAUAGCUACCCCUAUUCUCAGACUCAAUUGCUCGUUUGCCUCUAUUUUUUAAACUUUACUUGUUUCCCCUGUUUUUUUUAAAUCGAAGGCUUCAGUUGCCCC